CCUACGGGUGCAGCAGUGGGUCCUCUUGGACAAUGGGCGCAAGCCUGAUCCAGCAAUGCCGCGUGUGUGAAGAAGGCCUGCGGGUUGUAAAGCACUUUAAGCAGGAAAGAAGGGGUGAAAGUUAAUACCUUUCAUCAUUGACGUUACCUGCAGAAUAAGCACCGGCUAACUCCGUGCCAGCAGCCGCGGUAAUACGGAGGGUGCGAGCGUUAAUCGGAAUUACUGGGCGGCAGGCGCGCGUAGCCGUCGUGAAAGCCCUGGGCUUAACCUGGGAACUGCGGUGGAUACUGUCGGGCUAGAGUGUGGUAGAGGGGAGUGGAAUUUCCGGUGUAGCAGUGAAAUGCGUAGAGAUCGGAAGGAACACCAGUGGCGAAGGCGGCUCCCUGGACUAACACUGACGCUGAGGUGCGAAAGCGUGGGGAGCAAACAGGAUUAGAUACCCUUGUAGUC
rnacentral:rRNA from 1 species